rnacentral:rRNA from 1 species
GAACGGCCCCUGGCUGAAUUUUAUGAUCCCGGGCUGGUUCAAAAAGUCAAACAUUAGCC